UUCUACACAAAGAUAAAAAAAUAAAAAAAUUAGUAAACUAAAUUUAUAAAAAAAUUAAAGAAAUCAAAUAUUAAAAUUGGUGCCUUCCCCGGCAGUGAUGUCAAAAAUUGAUACGGUCAAGAUGUUGUCAUUAGGACAUCGUGAUUAUCAAUCAAAUUUUGAUUUUAAUAAAAAUUAAAAUACAUAAAAAGUAGUGAGUC
rnacentral:lncRNA from 1 species